rnacentral:misc_RNA from 1 species
AUCCAUUGCUUUCAUCAUUUAUAUUUAAUGCACCUUCUCUGGAUGAACCUCUGAAUAUACAGCCUCUUUCUUCAGUUGAAGCAGGCUCAGUGAAGGGGAGCACGACUGAGGAGUUUCGGGAAAGAAAAGUCGAACAGUCACCGCUGUCAGACAAGGACCAAGAGGAGAAAUCUCAGAGGUGCGAGUUUGUGCAGGGUCUGUUGCUGUCUGCCAUU